GAUGAACGCUGGCGGCGUGCCUAAUACAUGCAAGUCGAGCGAACAGAUAAGGAGCUUGCUCCUUUGACGUUAGCGGCGGACGGGUGAGUAACACGUGGGUAACCUACCUAUAAGACUGGAAUAACUCCGGGAAACCGGGGCUAAUGCCGGAUAACAUUUAGAACCGCAUGGUUCUAAAGUGAAAGAUGGUUUUGCUAUCACUUAUAGAUGGACCCGCGCCGUAUUAGCUAGUUGGUAAGGUAACGGCUUACCAAGGCAACGAUACGUAGCCGACCUGAGAGGGUGAUCGGCCACACUGGAACUGAGACACGGUCCAGACUCCUACGGGAGGCAGCAGUAGGGAAUCUUCCGCAAUGGGCGAAAGCCUGACGGAGCAACGCCGCGUGAGUGAUGAAGGUCUUCGGAUCGUAAAACUCUGUUAUUAGGGAAGAACAAAUGUGUAAGUAACUGUGCACGUCUUGACGGUACCUAAGCAGAAAGCCACGGCUAACUACGUGC
rnacentral:rRNA from 1 species